CCUACGGGAGGCUGCAGUGAGGAAUAUUUGUCAAUGGUCGGAAGCCUGAACCCGCCAAGUCGCGUGCAGGAUGAAGGUCCUGCGGGUUGUAAACUUCUUUUAUCCGGGAACAACGCGCCUUACGUGUAGGGCUUUGCAUGUACCUUAAGAAUAAGCAUCGGCUAAUUCCGUGCCAGCAGCCGCGGUAAUACGGAAGAUCCGGUCGUUAGCCGGAUUUAUUGGGUUUAAAGGGAGCGUAGGCGGUAGGUUAAGUCAGCGGUCAAAGGUCGGUGAUCAACACCGGCCUGCCGUUGAAACUGGUAGUCUUGAGUGAGAGAGAAGUAUGCGGAAUGCGUGGUGUAGCGGUGAAAUGCAUAGAUAUCGCGCAGAACUCCGAGUGCGAAGGCAGCAUACCGGCGCUAAACUGACGCUGAGGCACGAAAGCGUGGGGAUCGAACAGGAUUAGAUACCCCUGUAGUC
rnacentral:rRNA from 1 species